CACCAAUGUCUCAGUCUCCGGGGAGGAUCCGCCUCUCACCAAGAUGCCCCCAGAGCCCACCAGGAUAUUUGAGAUAUUCACUCCCCACAAGAGAAUUUGAAGAUGUCGAAAAAAACGUCAUUCCGACUCUCCUGCUGUGAAGAUACAGUUGAGAUCAACUAGAAUCAGUUUCUAUUUCCUGCUUCUAAAAAUGUUGUCUGCUAUACUAAGAAACAUACAACAGAAGCUGAUGCUUCCCGCACACAGUGCCGUGACCACGUAGUGGAGACAGCCUAACCAGGCCGGAGAUGGAAUAUAAGACAAUUUCACUUGAAUUAGCUCAAGUAAAAAUCACCUCUGAACAAGGGAAAGUAGCUAUAAAUUAAACUAUAGAAUCUCAUAGAAUUAUUCACACAAAGAACACUUUACUUGUGAGAUAAAUACAUUUUUCCAAUAUAAGUGAAGACUACUGAAAUGUGAUUUUAUGUAAUGAGUAGAUGCCUCUGUAAAAAAAAAUUGUUAUUAUGUGUAUUCAAAGUUUGUUC
rnacentral:lncRNA from 1 species